rnacentral:rRNA from 1 species
GACGAACGCUGGCGGCGUGCUUAACACAUGCAAGUCGAACGGUGAAGCGAGUGCUUGCACUCGUGGAUCAGUGGCGAACGGGUGAGUAACACGUGAGUAACCUGCCCAUCACUCUGGGAUAAGCACUGGAAACGGUGUCUAAUACAGGAUACGACCAACCCUUGCAUGGGGUGUUGGUGGAAAGAUUUAUCGGUGAUGGAUGGACUCGCGGCCUAUCAGCUUGUUGGCGGGGUAAUGGCCCACCAAGGCGACGACGGGUAGCCGGCCUGAGAGGGUGACCGGCCACACUGGGACUGAGACACGGCCCAGACUCCUACGGGAGGCAGCAGUGGGGAAUAUUGCACAAUGGGCGAAAGCCUGAUGCAGCGACGCCGCGUGAGGGAUGACGGCCUUCGGGUUGUAAACCUCUUUCAGCAGGGAAGAAGCGAAAGUGACGGUACCUGCAGAAGAAGCACCGGCUAACUACGUG